rnacentral:tRNA from 1 species
GCCCUAGGUGGCCGAGAACCCAGGCAUCGAGCUUUUAACUCGACCACAGUAAAUACUCCAGGACA